rnacentral:rRNA from 1 species
UACGUAGGGGCAAGCGUUGUCCGGAAUUAUUGGGCGUAAAGCGCGCGCAGGCGGCUUCUUAAGUCUGAUGUGAAAGCCCACGGCUCAACCGUGGAGGGUCAUUGGAAACUGGGGAGCUUGAGUGCAGAAGAGGAGAGUGGAAUUCCACGUGUAGCGGUGAAAUGCGUAGAGAUGUGGAGGAACACCAGUGGCGAAAGCGGCUCUCUGGUCUGUAACUGACGCUGAGGCGCGAAAGCGUGGGGAGCAAACAGG